rnacentral:lncRNA from 1 species
GGUAGGGUAGUCUCAAUAGGUAGGGUAGUUUCAUGUAGGGCAGUAGACCGUGCCAGGAAACGUGGUAAGACUGAGCAGGUUGAAAGUCCCAGAACUUUGUAUCAGAGAAUGGUAGGAGCUUCGCUUGCUUCCAACCAGGCCCUUGUCACGUGACCACACUCCCUACAUAGGAACGUGAUUUACAAUCGUGUAGAUGAGAGUUUUCCAUGCUACUGAGGUAUCUAGAGACCCUGAGAGUUAGCCAAUAAGUUUCCCUUCCCAGACAUCCCUUCCUACAAAAGGUAUUUAACCUCUGGUCCACCCUGAGGAGGUGAUACACAUCCAUUUUCCAAGAUGAACAAUCAGUAAACAAUUUGGAACCAAGGACUAUCUCUCUCAUCAAGAACCACCACCGUGGGGAGCAUGGAAAAAGCCUUUGUCUACAGAGCCCCGCCAUCUAAGUCUCCACAGAAGGCCCCCUCCACACUCCCAGACAUCACUAUUAAGCUACCCCACCCCCUGCUCCAGGCUCCUUAUCAUAGGCCUGUGGACCCUGGACCCUUCCGUUCCUGACUCCUCUGCAAGGUUUUCAGUGGUGACUGGAUGCCCAGGAGUCAGGGAACCUCAACUUUGGUCUCCCACAUCUUAGGCUGCGUUUUCCCACCCCCUGAGCAGUGUAUCUGCACUUCCUGAAAGCCCAUCACCCUACGGUAGGUAUAGAGUAAAUGUGGAAGUAGUCUCAGUGGGUAGGAUAGGCUCAAUCGGUAGGGUAGCCUCAGUGGGUACGGUCG